rnacentral:tRNA from 1 species
GCGGGUGUAGCUCAAUUGGCAGAGCGCCAGCCUUCCAAGCUGGCUGUUGUGGGUUCGAGUCCCAUCGCCCGCUUCA